ensembl:lncRNA
UUCUUUAAAUAUUUUUUAUUUGCAAUGGUUUGAGUGGUGAACACUUUAAAACCUUCAUGGAAAAUUCAGUUUUCAGCCAAUAUAACAAACUAUUUCCAUCUAUAUAUGUACAUGGAAAUGAAGAAGGACAGCAUAUCAAAAAUAAGAGUGGUUUUGUGUGUUAACAUGAACAUAAGAUAAUAACUUGUUGUUCACUUGUAGUCCUAGUGAUUUACAUGAGCGUAGCAUGUUAUGGUGCUUGUACACACGGUUUCAUCAUGUUACUCGUGCUGCAUGCAUUAUGUAGUGACUGAUAUAGAAUCAUCGUAUUCUGUUAAACAACAUUCAGUUCUCUAGCAACAAGUUGAACAUUGUAUGUAACAUUGUCUUUUUAAAAACACAAGUGAAUACACAAGUUGUAUACUGGAAAACUUACUACACAAUUAAAAUAGUUGUUAACUCUGUGUCUUAUUGGACUGUUUACAAUAUUAUUUCACAUAAUUCGUAAUGACCGUGCCAGCAAUAACUGAAAAUAAAUGAUCAAUUAAACACUUUGAUAAAAAUAUCAUAUUUUUGAGCACAGUAAAGUACAUUGUUGAUUAUGAGAACGUAUAAGAGGUACCCUGGCAGAGAUACACAGCUGCAUCACACUAGAAAGACUGCAAACACACACACACACACACACACACACACACACACACACACACACACACACACACUAGUGAGGGACAGAGAUUUGAGGCUUCAAUCUUUUUUCAGCAUCGUCAUCAAAAUGUUAAACGUUUCAAAUGAACAUAAAUAUUCACAUAGGAAUGUAAAAACUUCAUCAAGCUUUUUAUUAAAAUGUAGCCAUCUCCACCAGCGAACAUUAAGCCUAACAACUAGCUAUACCACCUAAUCCUAACCGCUAGCUACAUCAGUUUACCCAAACACUAAGAGCUAGCUAUACUAGCUAACACUAAUAGCUGGCUAUAUCAGCUAACCCUAACAGCUAGCUAUACCAGCUAACCCUAACAGCUGGCUAUAUCAGCUAACCCUAACAGCUAGCUAUAUCAGCUAACACUAACAGCUAACUAUACCAGCUAACACUAACAGCUAGCUAUAUCAGCUAACACUAACAGCUAGCUAUACCAGCUAACACUAACAGCUAGCUAUAUCAGCUAACACACACAAAACAUGUUUUAUUUAACAUUUAUUUAACUAGGCAAGUCAUUGAAGAACAAAUUCAUAUUUACAAUGACAACCUACACCAGCCAACGCUGGGCCAAUUGUGCGCCUCCCUAUGGGACUCCCAAUCACGGACAGUUGUGAUACAACCUAGAUUAGAACCAGGGACUGUAGUGAUGCUUCAAGCACUGAGAUGCAGUGCCUUAGACUGCUGCACCACUCAGGAGCUAUGCCAACUAACACUAACAGCUAGAUAUACCAGCUAACACUAACCCUAACAGUUAGCUAUAUCAGCUAACCCUAACCAUAAGAGCGAGCAAUAUCAACUAACCCUGACCCUAUCUGCUAGUUUGACCAAAUAACCCUAACAGCUAGAUAUACUAGCUAACACUAACUGCUAGCUAUACCAGCUAACACUAACCCUAACAGCUAGUUAAACAAGCUAACACUAACAGCUAGCUAUACCAGCUAACACUAACCCUAACAGCUAGUUAAACAAGCUAACACUAACAGCUAGCUAUACUAGCUAACACUAACUAUAACAGUGAACUAUACUGGCUAACAUGAACCCUAACAGCUAGCUAUACUAGCUAACACUAACAGCUAUAUAUACUAGCUUACAUUAACAGCUAUCUAUACUAGCCAACACUAACCCUAACAGCUCUAUAUCAACUAACACUAAACCAAACAGCAAGCUAUCCUACCGUAGCUAACACUAACCCUAACAACUAGCUAUACUAGCUAACACUAACCAUAACAGCUGACUAUACUGGAAAACACUAACCCUAACAGCUAUCUAUACUACCUAACACUAACAACUAGCUAAAUCAGCUAACACUUAACCUAACAGCUAGCUAUACUUACUAACACUAACUAUAACAGCUAGCUAUACUAACUAACACUAACUAUAACAGCUAGCUAUACUAACUAACACUAACCAUAACAGCUAGCUAUAUCAGCUAACUCUAACAGCUAGCUUUACCAGCUAACAAUAACAAUAACAGCUAGCUGUUUGAGCUAACACUAACAGCUAGCUAUAUCAGCUAACCCUAAUGGCUAGCUAUACCAGCUAACACUAACCCUAACAGCUAGUUAAACAAGCUAACACUAACAGCUAGCUAUACUAGCUAACACUAACUAUAACAGCGAACUAUACUGGCUAACAUUAACCCUAACAGCUAGCUAUACUAGCUAUCAGAGUGGUAGAGAGUGGUAGUGAGGGAGAGCGGUAGUGGGGGAGAGAGGGAGUGAGGGAGAGUAGGAGAGUGGUAGUGAGGGAGUGAGGGAGAGUAGGAGAGGGGUAGUGAAGGAGAGGAGGAGUGAGGGAGAGUGGUAGUGAGGGAGAGGGGGAGAGAGGGAGUGAGGGAGAGUAGGAGAGCGGUAGGUAGGGAGAGUGGGAGAGUGGUAGUGAGGGAGAGGGGGAGAGAGGGAGUGAGGGAGAGUAGGAGAGUGGUAGUGAGGGAGAGGGGGAGAGAGGGAGUGAGGGAGAGUAGGAGAGUGGUAGUGAGGGAGAGGGGGAGUGAGGGAGAGUAGGAGAGUGGUAGUGAGGGAGUGAGGGAGAGUAGGAGAGGGGUAGUGAAGGAGAGGGGGAGAGCGGGAGUGAGGGAGAGUGGUAGUGAGGGAGACUGGGAGAGAGGGAGUGAGGGAGAGUAGGAGAGCGGUAGUGAGGGAGAGGGGGAGAGAGGGAGUGAGGGAGAGUGGUAGUGAGGGAGACGGGGAGAGAGGGAGUGAGGGAGAGUAGGAGAGUGGUAGUGAGGGAGAGGGGGAGAGUAGGAGAGUGGUAGUGAGGGAGAGGGGGAGUGAGGGAGAGUAGGAGAGUGGUAGUAAGGGGGAGAGAGCGAGUGAGGGAGAGGGGGAGAAAGGGAGAGUGGUAGUGAGGGAGAGGGGAGAAAGGGAGAGUGGUAGUGAGGCAGAGUGGUAGUGAGGGAGUAGGAGAGUGGUAGUGAGGGAGGGUGGUAGUGAGGGAGAAUGGUAGUGAGGGAGUGGGAGUGAGGGAGGGUGGUAGUGAGGGAGAGUGGUAGUGAGGGAGUAGGAGAGUGGUAGUGAGGGAGAGUGGUGGUGAGGGAGUAGGAGAGUGGUAGUGAGGGAGAGUGGGAGUGAGGGAGACUGGGAGAGAGGGAGUGAGGGAGAGUAGGAGAGCGGUAGUGAGGGAGAGGGGGAGAGAGGGAGUGAGGGAGAGUGGUAGUGAGGGAGACGGGGAGAGAGGGAGUGAGGGAGAGUAGGAGAGUGGUAGUGAGGGAGAGGGGGAGAGUAGGAGAGUGGUAGUGAGGGAGAGGGGGAGUGAGGGAGAGUAGGAGAGUGGUAGUAAGGGGGAGAGAGCGAGUGAGGGAGAGGGGGAGAAAGGGAGAGUGGUAGUGAGGGAGAGGGAGAAAGGGAGAGUGGUAGUGAGGCAGAGUGGUAGUGAGGGAGUAGGAGAGUGGUAGUGAGGGAGAAUGGUAGUGAGGGAGUGGGAGUGAGGGAGGGUGGUAGUGAGGGAGAGUGGUAGUGAGGGAGUAGGAGAGUGGUAGUGAGGGAGAGUGGUAGUGAGGGAGUAGGAGAGUGGUAGUGAGGGAGAGUGGGAGUGAGGGAGGGUGGUAGUGAGGGAGGGUGGGAGUGAGGGAGGGUGGUAGUGAGGGAGGGUGGGAGUGAGGGAUUGAUUUGACUUCAUAUUCCAGUCAGCAGCUGUAAUGUUUGUUAAAGCAUCAUGGAUUAAAAAAGUUUAAGAUGGAUUUUUCACAGAUUCAAAUUCUUCUGGACAGGUGCUGCCCCAAGGUGCUGCCCCAAGGUGCUGCCCCAGGUCUGUUUCCCUUCCCUUCCUAUCCCCCCUGUCCCACUCCUGUGCCAAGCUGUCCUGCCCUUUCCUAUCCUGUCCUAAACUGUCCUCGGCUCUGUCCUGUCCUUUCCUAUCCUAUCCUAAACUGUCCUCGGCUCUGUCCUGUCCUCGGCUUUGUCCUGUCCUUGGCUCCUGUCCUGUUGUCCUCAUAAUGUCCUCCACUCAGGAACAGGAACCAGGUAGGAACCAGCAAGACCUAGCACUGUCCUGUCCUCUCUUGUCCUCAACUGUCCCUGUUCUGAGCUCUGUCCUGUCCUGGGCUCUGCUCUGUCCUGUCCUGGGAUGUCCUGUCCUGGGCUUUGCUCUGUCCUAGAAUAUGUCCUGUCUUGGCCUCUGUCCUGCUUGGGCUCUGCCCUGUCCUGUCUUGGGCACUGUCCUGUUCUGGGCACUGUCCUGUUCUGGGCUCUGCCCUGUCCUGUCUUGGCCUCUGUCCUGUUCUGGGCUCUGUCCUGUACUGUCUUGGCCUCUGUCCUGUUCUGGGCUCUGUCCUGUACUGUCUUGGGCUCUGUCCUGUUCUGGGCUCUGUCCUGUCCUGGGCUCUGUCCUGUCCUGGGCUCUGUCCUGGGCUCUGCUCAGCCCUGGUCUGUCCUGGGCUCUGUCCUGUCCUUGGCUCCUGUCCUGUGGUCCUCAUAAUGUCCUCCACUCAGGAACAGGAACCAGGUAGGAACCAGCAGGGCCUAGAACCACAGAGAGAGCCCAUAACAAUGUAUGAUUCUCACUACGUUGUACGUAAUGCUCCCAGGCACCCAGGUGUUUCUCCAGUGUUCCAAUGCUCCCAGGCACCCAGGGGUUUCUCCAGUGUUCCAAUGCUCCCAGGCACCCAGGGGUUUCUCCAGGGUUCCAAUGCUCCCAGGCACCCAGGGGUUUCUCCAGGGUUCCAAUGCUCCCAGGCACCCAGAUGUUUCUCCAGUGUUCCAAUGCUCCCAGGCACCCAGAUGUUUCUCCAGUGUUCCAAUGCUCCCAGGCACUGGGGUGUUUCUCCAGGGUUCCAAUUCUCCCAGGCACCCAGGUGUUUCGCCAGGGUUCCAAUGCUCCCAGGCAC